rnacentral:rRNA from 1 species
GUGUGAACUGCAGGACACAUGAACAUCGACAUUUUGAACGCACAUUGCGGUCCAUGCUAAUGUUUUUUUUUAAACUGCAUGGACCACGUAUGGUUGAGUGUCGUAA